rnacentral:lncRNA from 1 species
ACACCAAUAAAAUUAAUUAAAAUUGAAACUCAACAGAUGUUUCAAUUGUUCGAUGGGAAAACCAUGAUUGAAUCUAAUAAACGUUAAACCAAUUUCAAAACAUAUUUGUAAUAAGGAAAUUAAACCCUAGAAUUGUUUGACAAUGAAAAAGCAAAUUACAUGAAUUAAAAGAUUUUGAAAUCGUCAGGAUUGAGUUCCUUCGUAGCUUCAUCGAGAUCUUUAGUUCUCCAUGGAUAUCUUGCACAAAAACUAGAGAAAAAUAAGUAUAGAGAUGUGUAUUCUGCAUUUUGGGAUGUUCUAGGGCUUAAAUAUCAUGAAAGAGAUUUGUUUCAAUAAAUGUUUGAUUAAAAUUAGGAAACCAAGAUUCUCGCCUCAGAGUUGAACUAUGCGACUGCAUGGUUAUUGGUGUUGUGGUCACAUGGAACAACAAUUUUCAGCCAUCAAUUUGUCUAUAACACUAUGUGCGAUCGCAUGGUAUAAAGUUGUGGGUCACAUGGUUGUUGCCAUUUUUCUCUACCAGACAGCUUUCAAUAUUUGUUCAUAACUUUAUCUCCCGAUAUUCGAUUGAGGCAAUUUAAAGUGCGUUGGAAAGAUAAUGCAAAGAGAUAUAAUAUUUCUAGAGGGUAUCUCUUUUCCAAUUCGAACAUUUACUAGGUCAAAAAUGAAUCUCAAUCUCCGGCUGAAAAUCUGGAACAUCUUUGUACAGUUGAAAAUUGUUUUGUGAAAAUGUUGUGGUCAUAUUUCACUUUUUUUGACUUCUAAUUGUACCCAAUUUACCCCUUGCCUUCUGGAAUCAUCAUUCCAUCGCCCAUCUCAUCUUUGAAUUAUUUGCAACUUGGUCCCUGCACUUCCAAUUUCUUCCACUUUAGUCUUUUUUUCACUUAUUUCUUGUAUUUUCCAUCGUANNN